rnacentral:tRNA from 1 species
CAUUAGAUUACUUAAAUGCAAGUGUUGGUCUCUUAAACCAAAUUAUAGUAAUUGAAGCGAAUACUUCUAAUGG